GAUGAAGCCUGCUGGGAGCGUGAAUGACAUGGCCCUGGAUGCCUUCGACUUGGACCGGAUGAAGCAGGAGAUCCUAGAGGAGGUGGUGAGAGAGCUCCACAAGGUGAAGGACGAGAUCAUCGACGGUGAGUGCAGCCCCGCGGGGGAGGGCGGUACCCAGGUGGGGCUGCAGGACAAGGGUCCCUGUCACCCAGGCUGGGGGCCUCCAGUUUUGAGCUGGAGCCCAUACUGCACUGGGCCCUGUGAGAUUUCAUUCUUCUUACAGUCUCUAGUUGAGGAAACAGGCUCAGGAAAGCUAAGUGGCUUGCCUAAGAAUUUGUAGCUCCCUGGUAGCAUGAGACCCGAAUCUGACCUUCCACAUCCCCAGCACCUUCCUGGAAGACCCACGUGGGAAGAGCAUGGAGGGGAGACCCCAGCAUCGUUCCAGAGCCAGGUCUGGAGGAGCCACCUGAGCUUCUGUCAUUCCACCCCCUGGCGGUUCAUAUUGCCUUCUUGAUACUGCCACCUCCAGUGACUGGUGUUGGGGUUCUGAGGGGACCACUCUGCCUUCCUAGGGGUACA
rnacentral:sRNA from 1 species